GCCCAGCCAUAACAAAACAAUCAAAUAACCAAUUGUUCGCCAAAUAACUACGAGUGAAAACUUAAAACUUAAAAGACUUGACGGUACUUCACACCAACCUAGAGGAGCCUGUUUAAUAACCGAUAACCCACGAUUAACCCAACCCCCCCUAGCCCAACAGUCUAUAUACCGCCGUCGCCAGCUUACCUUAUGAAAGAACCAAAGUAAGCCCAAUAACAUCACACUUAACACGACAGGUCGAGGUGUAACUAAUGGUGAGGAACUAAAUGGGCUACAUUUUCUUACAACCAGAAAACUUAAACGAAUAAACUGUGAAACCAGAAACUGAAGGCGGAUUUAGCAGUAAGAUAAGAAUAAAAUACUUAACCGAAAUUAACGCAAUGAAGUGCGCACACACCGCCCGUCAUCCCUGAAGGCCAUAUAAACUAUUAAUAAACCACAUUUCCCCUAUAAAAACAGGGCAAGUCGUAACACGGUAAGCGUACUGGAAAGUGCGCUUAGAAACAAAAAGUAGCUUACACUAAAGCACUCGACUUACAAUCGAACAAUGUUAAACAUUAACCUUUUUGAGCUGAAAGUACAAUAAUUUCACAAACAUCUUUAUGUAUAUCAAACAAACCAUUU
rnacentral:rRNA from 1 species